UAAUCAUAGUCCGAUAGUAAUGGUAGUUAUGAUAGUAGGGCACGAAAUCAGUUCUGCCCUACUAUCAUAACUACCAUUACUAUAAUACUAU
rnacentral:misc_RNA from 1 species